CGGUGCGGCUUGUCGCCACGAGCUGGUUGCCGUGGUUUGUUGAAGCCAGGUCGUCUGGGUUUAUUGGUUGGGCUGUGGAUUUUCUCCAAGCUUUGCUGGCGAAGACGGAGCUGCUGGUAUAUCUGGAGUGGCGUUGGAGUAGAGCUACGUUGCUCGGGAAGAAGAUUGCCUCUGCUCCCUACUGUGCUCUCUGUAGUGCUCUCUGUAGUGCUCUCUUUAGUGUUCUCUUUAGUGCUCUGUUUAGUGCUCUCUGUAG